UUUGAUCCUGGCUCAGGACGAACGCUGGCGGCGUGCCUAAUACAUGCAAGUCGAGCGAAGUUUUUCUGGUGCUUGCACUAGAAAAACUUAGCGGCGAACGGGUGAGUAACACGUAAAGAACCUGCCUCAUAGACUGGGACAACUAUUGGAAACGAUAGCUAAUACCGGAUAACAUCAUUAACUGCAUGGUUGAUGUUUGAAAGUUUGGUUUUGCUAACACUAUGAGAUGGCUUUGCGGUGCAUUAGCUAGUUGGUGGGGUAAAGGCCUACCAAGGCGACGAUGCAUAGCCGACCUGAGAGGGUGAUCGGCCACACUGGGACUGAGACACGGCCCAGACUCCUACGGGAGGCAGCAGUAGGGAAUCUUCCGCAAUGGGCGAAAGCCUGACGGAGCAACGCCGCGUGAGUGAAGAAGGAUUUCGGUUCGUAAAGCUCUGUUGUUAGGGAAGAAUGAUUAUGUAGUAACUAUACAUAGUAGAGACGGUACCUAACCAGAAAGCCACGGCUAACUACGUGCCAGCAGCCGCGGUAAUACGUAGGUGGCAAGCGUUGUCCGGAAUUAUUGGGCGUAAAGCGCGCGCAGGUGGUUUAAUAAGUCUGAUGUGAAAGCCCACGGCUCAACCGUGGAGGGUCAUUGGAAACUGUUAAACUUGAGUGCAGGAGAGAAAAGUGGAAUUCCUAGUGUAGCGGUGAAAUGCGUAGAGAUUAGGAGGAACACCAGUGGCGAAGGCGGCUUUUUGGCCUGUAACUGACACUGAGGCGCGAAAGCGUGGGGAGCAAAACAGGAUUAGAUACCCUGGUAGUCCACGCCGUAAACGAUGAGUGCUAAGUGUUGGUCUCAUAAGAGAAUCAGUGCUGCAGCUAACGCAUUAAGCACUCCGCCUGGGGAGUACGACCGCAAGGUUGAAAACUCAAAGGAAUUGACGGGGACCCGCACAAGCGGUAGAGCAUGUGGUUUAAUUCGAAGCAACGCGAAGAACCUUACCAAGUCUUGACAUACUGUGAGGACACAAGAGAUUGUGUUGUUCUGACCUUUGGUUAGACACAGAUACAGGUGGUGCAUGGUUGUCGUCAGCUCGUGUCGUGAGAUGUUGGGUUAAGUCCCGCAACGAGCGCAACCCUUAUAUCUAGUUGCCAGCAGUAAGAUGGGGACUCUAGAUAGACUGCCAGUGAUAAACUGGAGGAAGGUGGGGAUGACGUCAAAUCAUCAUGCCCCUUAUGACUUGGGCUACACACGUGCUACAAUGGAUAGGAACAAAAGAGAAGCGAGCUCGCGAGAGUAAGCAACCCUCCAAAAACUAUUCUCAGUUCGGAUGGUAGUCUGCGAACUGGACUACAGAAAGCGGGAAUCGCUAGUAAUCGGGAAUCAAAAGGUGGGGGGGAAUAGGUUCCCGGUUCUGGCCCCCCCCGCC
rnacentral:rRNA from 1 species